rnacentral:rRNA from 1 species
UAACGCGUGGGUAACCGUGCCUCAUACAGGGGAGUAACAGUUGGAAACGACUGCUAAUACCGCAUAAGCGCACAGGAUCGCAUGAUCCGGUGUGAAAAACUCCGGUGGUAUGAGAUGGAUCCGCGUCUGAUUAGCCAGUUGGCAGGGUAACGGCCUACCAAAGCGACGAUCAGUAGCCGACCUGAGAGGGUGACCGGCCACAUUGGGACUGAGACACGGCCCAA